rnacentral:miRNA from 1 species
UCAAGUCCCUGUUCGGGCGCCG